GUAAAAUUUCAUUACACCUCGUGAUACGGCCAAUUGAGUAUAAGUUAAGAGAAGGGAGAUUGAGGCAGUUUGUUCGUGUGAAAAAUAGACAUAUGAAGGCUAGAGUGGACAAGCGGAGCACGUUGAGCUAGAGAAUAGAAAGAAAAGAAGGUAGUAGAGUAGCAUUACACAUCGUUUAGAGUGGACAUGCCACGGUGGUUUUCCAAACCAGGCAAUAUCGCAAGUGAGAGUUAAGCAUGCCUUGACAUCAUAGUCAGGCAAGGGAACACAACAGUUCUAGCAUCGAGUAAUGGGCAUAUGCAAAAUUUUUUGUCG
rnacentral:misc_RNA from 1 species